CGAGCGGAACGAGUUAUCUGAACCUUCGGGGGAACGAUAACGGCGUCGAGCGGCGGACGGGUGAGUAAUGCCUAGGAAAUUGCCUUGAUGUGGGGGAUAACCAUUGGAAACGAUGGCUAAUACCGCAUAAUGCCUACGGGCCAAAGAGGGGGACCUUCGGGCCUCUCGCGUCAAGAUAUGCCUAGGUGGGAUUAGCUAGUUGGUGAGGUAAUGGCUCACCAAGGCGACGAUCCCUAGCUGGUCUGAGAGGAUGAUCAGCCACACUGGAACUGAGACACGGUCCAGACUCAUACGGGAGGCAGCAGUGGGGAAUAUUGCACAAUGGGCGAAAGCCUGAUGCAGCCAUGCCGCGUGUAUGAAGAAGGCCUUCGGGUUGUAAAGUACUUUCAGUUGUGAGGAAGGGGGUGUCGUUAAUAGCGGCAUCUCUUGACGUUAGCAACAGAAGAAGCACCGGCUAACUCCGUGCCAGCAGCCGCGGUAAUACGGAGGGUGCGAGCGUUAAUCGGAAUUACUGGGCGUAGAAGCGCAUGCAGGUGGUUCAUUAAGUCAGAUGUGAAAGCCCGGGGCUCAACCUCGGGAACUGCAUUUGAAACUGGUGAACUAGAGUACUGUAGAGGGGGGGUAGAAUUUCAGGUGUAGCGGUGAAAUGCGUAGGAGAUCUGAAGGGAAUACCAGUGGCGAAGGCGGCCCCCCUGGACAGAUACUGACACUCAGAUGCGAAAGCGUGGGG
rnacentral:rRNA from 1 species